UGUGAGAGGGGGCUUGCUCCCGAUGAGGGAGUGUCAGUGAUGCAUCUAUGACUGACCCACUGCCAUUGGGAGCAAGCCCCCUCCCACA
rnacentral:antisense_RNA from 1 species